GAGCCAGGCUGGUUUUAGGUUCUCGCUGCUCUGGGAGAGUGGAGGUUCUUCAUGGAGAGAGCUGGGCCACAGUGUGUGAUGCUGACUUUAACCAGCAGGAUGCAGAGGUUGUGUGUCGAGAGCUGGGCUGUGGUUCUCCUGUGAAGGUUCUGGGAGCAGCUGCGUUUGGUAGAGGGGAGGGUCAGGUGUGGUCAGAGGUGUGUCAGUGUAGAGGAAACAAAUCUCACUCACUUCUGUCCAAAAUCAUCUUCACUCAAACACAACUGCUCCCAUGAUAAUGAUGUGGGACUGGUGUGUGCAGGUAAGAACUGCAUUCAGCACAAUGAGCCUGUGACUUCAUCUAUUCCUACUUAGACAGCCCUCUGUCUCAGUAGCUCAGCCCUGUGCUCCAUUACCUGUUUGCCAUUAAGACCUGGUGAAAUUAAAUAUUUGUGACUUAUUAUAUUGUUUGUUUGGGGUGAGGGUGUUAUGUUUGUGCAGCAUUACUGUUCUGGCAUUUGUUUUUUUAGUGGAUAAUAGUGUAAUAAAGUGUAGGGGAUCUGUGUUUGUCUAGAAUACCUUGCAGUGUGAAUUUAAAAACAUUAAAAACACAGCUAGCAGAAACUUCCUGGUGGAUAGCACUAAUUAUAAACACAAUAGACUUUGGACAAAUGUAAUGAGUUUCUCUAGUCUAACAGACACAAGAGACUGUUGUUUUGGAGAUAAUUUGUGGAUUUUUGGAGCUGCAGUAACACAUUACACAAAAUGGCUACAGCAACAUGUAUCCAUGUGAAUCACAUGUAAUAUUCUGGGUUGGAGUGGAACAGACUUAGAAUACUUGUACUGGCAGCACAUAGUUUAAAAGCAAGAAUGGUGAAUUAAGUAUGUGUCUACUGUUCUGUUCCUCCAGUCCAUUAAGCAGGUAACAAGACUGGUGGAGGUCAUAUAGUGUCUGGAAAAUAACUGCUCACAGGAUUGCCAACAAAUUAAAAGUCUAUGUGUAUCUUUUUUAUUUUUGUUAUUUUGAAACUGUAAAGGGAAAAAAUAUUAAAAAUGCUAAAUAGACGUGUCCACUUCAAUGUUAUGUGUUCUAAACAUUAGGUCAUUUUUAUUUCCUUCUGUAGUCACAAUAAUAUACAUUUUGAUUAGGGGUGUCCUAUGCUGGAGUUAUCUGUUCAGGUAAAACACUGUAAACAGGGACUGUACAUUAUCUGCCAUGUAGGCAAAGUGUACAGCACAUAUGAUUUUUCUUUUUAACCCACCCUAAAUCCUUGUUGAUUGCCAAGGUAAAUUGGUAUGUUUAAACUGAGCAAUCACCAAACUGUGCUGUACACUGGAAUUCUCAACCAACAAUUAAUUUACUGAUUUUUUUUUUUUUACUGAUUUCAUAAUUUUGCUGAUCCAUAUUAAUUUGUUUAAUGUAAUUCAUAGCUUUACUGAACUUAUUUUGAAUCCUUAUACUCUCUUUAGUUUUUUCCAAUGCAUUUAUGAAUCAUUCAUUGUGCAAUAUUUAGCAUCAUCAUGCUUAAUCAUUUAUCAUUACUGAUAAAUAAGCUUUCUUUUUUUCAUGGUAAUUUUUAGGUGUCCUGCUGGUUAAUGGCUCUCGCUGCUCUGGGAGAGUGGAGGUUCUUCAUGGUGAGAGCUGGUUCACAGUGUGUGAUGCUGACUUUAACCAGCUGGAUGCAGAGGUUGUGUGUCAGGAGCUGGGCUCAAACACAACUGCUCCCAUGAUAAUGAUGUGGGACUGGUGUGUGCAGACAGUGUGAGGUUGGCGGAUGGUGGCAGUCGCUGAGGAGAGCAGAGGUUUUUCACAGAGGACAGUGGGGAACAAUUUGUGGUGCUGGUGCAAAUUUCAUAGCGGUUUUGUCAUGUGUAAAGAGUUGGGCUGUGGAGAGCCGUUUAGGACUGAUGCAGCUGUUCCAGGAUCUGCACCGAUCUGGAUGAGUCAUGUGAAGUGUACUGGAUCAGAGUCUACACUGAAACACUGUGGAUCAUUAGGGUGGGGUGAACACAGCUGUAAUCAUAAUAUGGAUAUUGAGCUUACCUGUUCAGGUAUGUUUUAAUUAGACAAAAACUGUAAUACGUACGUAUUACAUGUAUUACAUUUGUGAACUUUCUGAGAAUGUUUCGACACAUCAUAGACAAAAUCAAAUCAGAGAUCAUAUGAUGGAAUGUCACUGUUUUGUAUACCUAUUCCGUAUUAAAUAUUCUAUUACAUAGUAAAUUCUGACAGUUACAGCUAAUGUGAGAAGCAGUGAUGUUUUUUUUUAACAUUUGCUUUGACUUUUAUUUAAUUGCUGAAAAUAUUAACCCAAGAUAUUGUCUAGUCAGUUUCAUUUUGUUUGAUAAAAUUUAAUUCAAUAAAAAAGGGUCUGCAGUACUGA